AUGUUAAAUUCCUAAAGGGAGUAAGGAUUACUUGACACCCAAAAGUACAUUUUGAAUGCUUAGCCGGACAGGGAAAUAGUCAAAUUCACGCACUUAUCAACAGAACAUCCCUUGCCAUCCAUACUGCCUCUGAUCUGACGGACUGACUAAACACACGUGCUUCGUUUGUAAAUGAUGUCAAUGUUGGAGUGUACCCCUUGCUUCCCGUACAUUUUUAAAACAAGAACAUUGUGCCAUCUGGUUUGCUUAAUAUAAGGAAUGAACAUGUAUUAAAGGGGUGAACAUAAAACACCCUAGAUUAACCAUUAUCCACAACAGCAUUCUUUCUUCAUUGACAGGUUUUGCCAAUGUAGCGCCGCUGUGUCUGCCAGUAGCGAAGGCCGGGACAGAGCUAUAUGCCGGAGUGGCUCAUGUACUGAGGAAGGAAGGAUGGAGGGGAUGUAAUAAUGUCAUAUUUGGUAGUUAACAUCCCAAUGUCAUAAAGCAUGGACAUCCGAAAAUGUCUGGGCACUGCCAAGUCCAAAAAAACGGAGGACCACCAUGUCGAGACUGAUGCCGAGCUCACCGAGCAGCCUGCUAGCCAGACAACUGAGGUUGAAAAGCCUAGCAAAUGCAACUUGACCAAGAUGAGCCAUGGUUAGCACCAGCAGCACGAGGUUAACAUCACAAGCACCUCCGUUACCCCAGCCACUAGCACCUGACGAACUCGGUGAUGAUGAGCCAGCACAGGUUGAGACCAACAUGGUUGAGUACCUGCACCAGGUGGAGGUGACCAGACCCUACCCAUUUGUGUUGGUUCUUCGGGACUGCUCACGGAUGUUUACAGUCAUUAGUGGACCGGCAUUGGAGCAAGGUACACUGCUUGGGUCACAGGAUGUGUGCUUCAAGUCUUAUUAUGUGUUUGAUAUCAACUUUCCCACUUUGCCCCAGCAUGGGAAUUCCUAUAGACCAUGGUGUAUCAGCUGCCAGAUAUAGUAUCUCCUGCAGUAAGACUGUUGCGAGCAUGUAUUUUUUCCACUGAACAAUAGUGGAUAAGUAUCUGCUCUUGUAUGUAGUGUGAGAAGGGACCAGAGGAAACAAGUGUUCCUGUGAAUUAAUAGAUCAAUGGAUGGCUGGAUGAGCCACAAGGUUCUCAUUCCAUUGCUCUUAAGGCACUAUUUCUAGCUGUUUAAAUUGCAUUUGUGCCUGCUUUUUGCCUACAGUACAUCUCAUUUGCCUUUAGUAUAACUACUGAAGCAUGUUCUGGUACAUAUUCAUUCUAUCGUAACAAUUUAUUUUAAAUACAAAUGUUACAUUUUGGGGAUUGUGAUUGAGUCAUUAGUCCAUGUCCUUAGUAUAGUGACCUUCAAAUGUAAUAUUUUACACUUGUUCUGUGUAACAAUGUUUUAAUUCGACCCAAAUGUAGACCAUUAUUGUAUGGCAAAACAGCAUGUGUGUGCUGUCACCUAACAUAGUCGAAGUGUGUCAGUGAACGUGAAUAUCUACUGAUUUACCUCUGCCUUAAGUGGUAUUUUAUUUUUAUUUUUUUACCUUUAUUUUACUAGUCAAGUCAGUUAAGAACAAAUUCUUAUUUUCAAUGAAGGCCUAGGAACAGUGGGUUAACUGCCUGUUCAGGGGCAGAACGACAGAUUUGUACCUUGUCAGCUCUGGGAUUUGAACUUGUAACCGUCCAAUGCUCUAACCACUAGGCUACCCUGCCGCCCCCCACAGAUCUGUGUUAAUACCACUUAAGACAGACAGUGUCACAUGCACGCAAGUGUGCACAUCAAUUUCAACUGAGGCUUUAGUCUGAUGUUUGGAAUGUUUGGUUCAUGAAAUAAUAUAAAUACAUUCUAAUAAUCAAUCCUAUUUUAUGAAAUCUUAUCUUGUGAAAUAAUACACACAGUAUUUAGACAAUAGGGCUUUGUUUCAAUGUGCUAUUUAAAAAUAUAUAUAUUCUUGUACAUUCUCUGACGUGAUGUAUGUUCUGAAAUACAGUUAGGUAAGGGAAGGGAUGGGAUGCAAAAAUAUGCAAGCAAAAUUGAAAUUAGGAUGACACUGAAAACAUCCCAAGGAUAACAUAAAUUACCCAGCUGCUGGGUCAAUCCCCCAACCCAACACACUGUUUUUUUUUAAACCCAGCAAUAUAGUCUAAUUUACCUAGCAGUUGGGUCAAGCGCUCAACCCAUGACACUGGAUUAGAAGCACAACCCAAACCUGCUGGGUUGAAUUACGGCAAUCUGUGUUUGGCCAGUAUUGACCCAGUGCUGGGUUGUCAAAAUUACCUAAAUUGGGUUAUCUUUAAAACCUCACCAGGGUACGUGGGACGCUAGCGGUCCAUCUGGCCAACAUCCAGUGAAAUUGCAGAGCACCAAAUUCAAAAACAAAUACUCCUUAUAAAAAUUCAUAAAACAUACAAGUGUUAUACAUCGGUUUAAAGAUGAACUUCUUGUUAAUCCAACCACGGUGUCAAAUUUCAUAAAGGCUUUACGACGAAAGCAUACCAUGCGAUUAUCUGAGAACAGCGCCCAGCAGACAAGUCAUUGCAAACAGUUACCAGCCAAGUAGAGGAGUUACACAAGUCAGAAACAGAGAUAAAAUUAAUCACUUACCUUUGAUGAUCUUCAUAUGGUUGCACUCACAAGACAACCAUUUACUUAAUAAAUGUUUGUUUUGUACGAUAAAGUCCCUGUUUAUAUCCAAAAACCUCAAUUUUGUUCAAACGCAGUCACAACAGGCAGACAAAAAAUCCAAAUAGUAUCUGUAAAGUUCGUAGAAACAAUUCAAAAGAUGUUUAUAAUCAAUCCUCAGGUUGUUUUUAGCCUAAAUAAUCAAUAAUAUUUCAACCAGACAAUAACGUUGUCAAUAUAAAAGGUAAACAAGAAAGAGGCUCUUGGUCGCGUGCAUGAAAAAUCUCUGUGACACUGUAGGGUCCACUCAUUCAGAGUGGUCUGACUCUCUAAUUUUUCAGAAUACAAGCCUGAAACAAUUUCUAAAGACUGUUGACAUCUAGGAAGUGUAAUUUGAGUCCUAAGUCAAUGGAUACUGUAAUGGCAUUUAAUAGAAAACUACAAACAUAAAAAACAUAAAAAAUGUUCUCAGGUUUUCGUCUGCCAAAUCAGUUCUGUUAUACUCACAGACAUUAUUUUAACAGUUUUGGAAUCUUUAGAGUGUUUUCUAUCCAACCAAUUAUAUGCAUAUCCUAGCUUCUGCGCCUGAGUAGCAGACAGUUUACUUUGGGCACGCUUUUCACCUGGAAGUGAAAAUAGUGCCCCCUACCCUAGUGAAGUUUUAACCUAGCACUUCCAAAUUUUAAUUUAAUGGUGGAUCAGCUUAAUAUUGCUGAUUUGUUGCUUCCAUCAAUGUAAUUGUCUGCAUCAUUUCCAAUCCCCCAUAUAUACAGUUGAAGUCGGAAGUUUACAUACACCUUAGCCAAAUACAUUUAUCUCCGUUUUUCACAAUUCCUGACAUUUAAUCCUCGUAAAAAGUCACUGUCUUAGGUCAAUUAGAUCACCAUUUUAUUUUAGGAAUGUAAAAUGUCAGAAUAAUAGUAGAGAGGAUGACUUAUUUCAGCUUUUAUUUCUUUCAUCACAUUCUCAGUGGGUCAGAAGUUUGAAAACACUCAAUUAGUAUUUGGUAGCAUUGCAUUUCAAUUGUUUAACAUGGGUCAAACGUUUCGGGUGGACUUCCACAAGCUUCCCACAAUAAGUUGGGUGAAUUUUGGCCCAUUCCUCCUGACAGAGCUGGUGUAACUGAGUCAGGUUUGUAGGCCUCCUUGCUCGCACACACUUUUUCAGUUCUGUCCACACAUUUUCUAUGGGAUUGAGGUCAGGGUUUUGAGAUGGCCACUCCAAUACCUUGACUUUGUUGUCCAGAACUUUGGAAGUAUGCUUGAGGUCGUUGUCCAUUUGGAAGACCCAUUUGCAAUUAAGUUUUAACUUCCUGACACGUUGUGUUAGCUAAUCCAAGUUUAUCAUUUUAAAAGGCUAAUUGAUCAUUAGAAAACCCUUUUGCAAUUAUGUUAGCACAGCUGAAAUCUGUUGUGCUGAUUAAAGAACCAAUUAAACUGUCCUUCUUUAGACUA